AAGAAAGUGCACCAGAUCCAUGUGUGAGAGGGUCAGGGAAACCGUCACCACGAAGGGCAAGUUGUUUCUUCACCUGAUGGGACAGAGAGAUUAAAAGAAGAACAUUAAAAGAAGAAACAUUGAACAAAAGAAACAGUCAAGCAUUCUGCUUGAGGACCUUACUCCAUUGGUUGAAGCUCCGAGUCUACAAGACUGACUUCCAGCUAGAAGAGAAUUUCUGCUGCCUGAUGGUCUCAAACUGGGUGAAAUAGAUUGGAGAUGUUAUGCAGAUUGGGUCAGAAGCAACACCUUCAGUGUCUCCCCUGCACCCUUCACGAGGCUAAGAAGAUAAAAGAGAGCACCCCCAGACAUUGUCUUCAAGUGAAGCCUCUAGAGAAUGCCUGAGAACAGUGCUAAGGAAACAGAGACGAGGUCAAGGUUUGUGAAAAGGCAAGGCCCACUCUCCUUGGCUGCUGAAAGCUGCAGCCCAGCUUGAGUCCUGAAGGUGUUUCCACACUUGAAGUAGCAGGGACCCAGAGAUGGUCCAUAAGGGUUAAAACUUCCAACAAAUGUGAGAACACCAUGGAAGUGCUGGGCUUGAAAAAAAUGAAAAAAGACAGCAGGAAAAUGAAAAGGUGCUGUGACUCUGCCUCUGGUCGGCAUGCAGAUGGAGGUUGAGGGAGCGUCAACAUACAUCGGUGUCCGUCAGUCAGUCAAUCAAAACACAUGGUUUCAGUGAGUUGGAAUUGUGUGAUACCGUGUUUGGCAUUUGGCCAGCAUU